UACGUAGGGUCCAAGCGUUAUCCGGAAUCACUGGGCGUAAAGCGUGCGUAGGUGGUCUGUUAAGUGAGAUGUGAAAGCGCGGGGCUCAACCCUGUCGUUGUGUCUCAUACUGGCAGACUAGAGGAUGGCAGAGGCAAGUGGAACUAGUAGUGUAGCAGUGAAAUGCGUAGAUAUUACUAAGAACACCAAUGGCGAAGGCAGCUUGCUGGGCCACCCCUGACACUGAGGUACGAAAGCGUGGGGAGCGAACAGG
rnacentral:rRNA from 1 species